GACGAACGCUGGCGGCGUGCUUAACACAUGCAAGUCGAACGGAAAGGCCCUGCUUUUGUGGGGUGCUCGAGUGGCGAACGGGUGAGUAGCACGUGAGUAACCUGCCCUUGACUUUGGGAUAACUUCAGGAAACUGGGGCUAAUACCGGAUAGGAGCUCCUGCUGCAUGGUGGGGGUUGGAAAGUUUCGGCGGUUGGGGAUGGACUCGCGGCUUAUCAGCUUGUUGGUGGGGUAGUGGCUUACCAAGGCUUUGACGGGUAGCCGGCCUGAGAGGGUGACCGGCCACAUUGGGACUGAGAUACGGCCCAGACUCCUACGGGAGGCAGCAGUGGGGAAUAUUGCACAAUGGGCGGAAGCCUGAUGCAGCAACGCCGCGUGCGGGAUGACGGCCUUCGGGUUGUAAACCGCUUUCGCCUGUGACGAAGCGUGAGUGACGGUAAUGGGUAAAGAAGCACCGGCUAACUACGUGCCAGCAGCCGCGGUGAUACGUAGGGUGCGAGCGUUGUCCGGAUUUAUUGGGCGUAAAGGGCUCGUAGGUGGUUGAUCGCGUCGGAAGUGUAAUCUUGGGGCUUAACCCUGAGCGUGCUUUCGAUACGGGUUGACUUGAGGAAGGUAGGGGAGAAUGGAAUUCCUGGUGGAGCGGUGGAAUGCGCAGAUAUCAGGAGGAACACCAGUGGCGAAGGCGGUUCUCUGGGCCUUUCCUGACGCUGAGGAGCGAAAGCGUGGGGAGCGAACAGGCUUAGAUACCCUGGUAGUCCACGCUGUAAACGGUGGGUACUAGGUGUGGGGUCCAUUCCACGGGUUCCGUGCCGUAGCUAACGCUUUAAGUACCCCGCCUGGGGAGUACGGCCGCAAGGCUAAAACUCAAAGGAAUUGACGGGGCCCCGCACAAGCGGCGGAGCAUGCGGAUUAAUUCGAUGCAACGCGUAGAACCUUACCUGGGUUUGACAUGGAUCGGGAGUGCUCAGAGAUGGGUGUGCCUCUUUUGGGGUCGGUUCACAGGUGGUGCAUGGCUGUCGUCAGCUCGUGUCGUGAGAUGUUGGGUUAAGUCCCGCAACGAGCGCAACCCUUGUUCACUGUUGCCAGCACGUUAUGGUGGGGACUCAGUGGAGACCGCCGGGGUCAACUCGGAGGAAGGUGGGGAUGACGUCAAGUCAUCAUGCCCCUUAUGUCCAGGGCUUCACGCAUGCUACAAUGGCUGGUACAGAGAGUGGCGAGCCUGUGAGGGUGAGCGAAUCUCGGAAAGCCGGUCUCAGUUCGGAUUGGGGUCUGCAACUCGAUCUCAUGAAGUCGGAGUCGCUAGUAAUCGCAGAUCAGCAACGCUGCGGUGAAUACGUUCCCGGG
rnacentral:rRNA from 1 species